rnacentral:rRNA from 1 species
GGGUUGUGAGGUUAAGCGACUAAGCGUACACGGUGGAUGCCCUGGCAGUCAGAGGCGAUGAAGGACGUGCUAAUCUGCGAUAAGCGUCGGUAAGGUGAUAUGAACCGUUAUAACCGGCGAUUUCCGAAUGGGGAAACCCAGUGUGUUUCGACACACUAUCAUUAACUGAAUCCAUAGGUUAAUGAGGCGAACCGGGGGAACUGAAACAUCUAAGUACCCCGAGGAAAAGAAAUCAACCGAGAUUCCCCCAGUAGCGGCGAGCGAACGGGGAGCAGCCCAGAGCCUGAAUCAGUAUGUGUGUUAGUGGAAGCGUCUGGAAAGGCGCGCGAUACAGGGUGACAGCCCCGUACACAAAAAUGCACAUGCUGUGAGCUCGAUGAGUAGGGCGGGACACGUGGUAUCCUGUCUGAAUAUGGGGGGACCAUCCUCCAAGGCUAAAUACUCCUGACUGACCGAUAGUGAACCAGUACCGUGAGGGAAAGGCGAAAAGAACCCCGGCGAGGGGAGUGAAAAAGAACCUGAAACCGUGUACGUACAAGCAGUGGGAGCACGCUUAGGCGUGUGACUGCGUACCUUUUGUAUAAUGGGUCAGCGACUUAUAUUCUGUAGCAAGGUUAACCGAAUAGGGGAGCCGAAGGGAAACCGAGUCUUAACUGGGCGUUAAGUUGCAGGGUAUAGACCCGAAACCCGGUGAUCUAGCCAUGGGCAGGUUGAAGGUUGGGUAACACUAACUGGAGGACCGAACCGACUAAUGUUGAAAAAUUAGCGGAUGACUUGUGGCUGGGGGUGAAAGGCCAAUCAAACCGGGAGAUAGCUGGUUCUCCCCGAAAGCUAUUUAGGUAGCGCCUCGUGAAUUCAUCUCCGGGGUAGAGCACUGUUUCGGCAAGGGGGUCAUCCCGACUUACCAACCCGAUGCAAACUGCGAAUACCGGAGAAUGUUAUCACGGGAGACACACGGCGGGUGCUAACGUCCGUCGUGAAGAGGGAAACAACCCAGACCGCCAGCUAAGGUCCCAAAGUCAUGGUUAAGUGGGAAACGAUGUGGGAAGGCCCAGACAGCCAGGAUGUUGGCUUAGAAGCAGCCAUCAUUUAAAGAAAGCGUAAUAGCUCACUGGUCGAGUCGGCCUGCGCGGAAGAUGUAACGGGGCUAAACCAUGCACCGAAGCUGCGGCAGCGACGCUGAUGCGUUGUUGGGUAGGGGAGCGUUCUGUAAGCCUGCGAAGGUGUGCUGUGAGGCAUGCUGGAGGUAUCAGAAGUGCGAAUGCUGACAUAAGUAACGAUAAAGCGGGUGAAAAGCCCGCUCGCCGGAAGACCAAGGGUUCCUGUCCAACGUUAAUCGGGGCAGGGUGAGUCGACCCCUAAGGCGAGGCCGAAAGGCGUAGUCGAUGGGAAACAGGUUAAUAUUCCUGUACUUGGUGUUACUGCGAAGGGGGGACGGAGAAGGCUAUGUUGGCCGGGCGACGGUUGUCCCGGUUUAAGCGUGUAGGCUGGUUUUCCAGGCAAAUCCGGAAAAUCAAGGCUGAGGCGUGAUGACGAGGCACUACGGUGCUGAAGCAACAAAUGCCCUGCUUCCAGGAAAAGCCUCUAAGCAUCAGGUAACAUCAAAUCGUACCCCAAACCGACACAGGUGGUCAGGUAGAGAAUACCAAGGCGCUUGAGAGAACUCGGGUGAAGGAACUAGGCAAAAUGGUGCCGUAACUUCGGGAGAAGGCACGCUGAUAUGUAGGUGAAGUCCCUCGCGGAUGGAGCUGAAAUCAGUCGAAGAUACCAGCUGGCUGCAACUGUUUAUUAAAAACACAGCACUGUGCAAACACGAAAGUGGACGUAUACGGUGUGACGCCUGCCCGGUGCCGGAAGGUUAAUUGAUGGGGUUAGCGCAAGCGAAGCUCUUGAUCGAAGCCCCGGUAAACGGCGGCCGUAACUAUAACGGUCCUAAGGUAGCGAAAUUCCUUGUCGGGUAAGUUCCGACCUGCACGAAUGGCGUAAUGAUGGCCAGGCUGUCUCCACCCGAGACUCAGUGAAAUUGAACUCGCUGUGAAGAUGCAGUGUACCCGCGGCAAGACGGAAAGACCCCGUGAACCUUUACUAUAGCUUGACACUGAACAUUGAGCCUUGAUGUGUAGGAUAGGUGGGAGGCUUUGAAGUGUGGACGCCAGUCUGCAUGGAGCCGACCUUGAAAUACCACCCUUUAAUGUUUGAUGUUCUAACGUUGACCCGUAAUCCGGGUUGCGGACAGUGUCUGGUGGGUAGUUUGACUGGGGCGGUCUCCUCCUAAAGAGUAACGGAGGAGCACGAAGGUUGGCUAAUCCUGGUCGGACAUCAGGAGGUUAGUGCAAUGGCAUAAGCCAGCUUGACUGCGAGCGUGACGGCGCGAGCAGGUGCGAAAGCAGGUCAUAGUGAUCCGGUGGUUCUGAAUGGAAGGGCCAUCGCUCAACGGAUAAAAGGUACUCCGGGGAUAACAGGCUGAUACCGCCCAAGAGUUCAUAUCGACGGCGGUGUUUGGCACCUCGAUGUCGGCUCAUCACAUCCUGGGGCUGAAGUAGGUCCCAAGGGUAUGGCUGUUCGCCAUUUAAAGUGGUACGCGAGCUGGGUUUAGAACGUCGUGAGACAGUUCGGUCCCUAUCUGCCGUGGGCGCUGGAGAACUGAGGGGGGCUGCUCCUAGUACGAGAGGACCGGAGUGGACGCAUCACUGGUGUUCGGGUUGUCAUGCCAAUGGCACUGCCCGGUAGCUAAAUGCGGAAGAGAUAAGUGCUGAAAGCAUCUAAGCACGAAACUUGCCCCGAGAUGAGUUCUCCCUGACUCCUUGAGAGUCCUGAAGGAACGUUGAAGACGACGACGUUGAUAGGCCGGGUGUGUAAGCGCAGCGAUGCGUUGAGCUAACCGGUACUAAUGAACCGUGAGGCUUAACCUUACAACGCCGAAGCUGUU